AGCCUGAUCCAGCCAUGCCGCGUGAGUGAAGAAGGCCUUCGGGUUGUAAAGCUCUUUCGGACGGAAAGAAAGGGCGCGGGCUAAUAUCCCGGGGGGUUGACGGUACCCUAAGAAGAAGCCCCGGCUAACUACGUGCCAGCAGCCGCGGUAAUACGUAGGGUGCGAGCGUUAAUCGGAAUUACUGGGCGUAAAGCGGGGGCAGGCGGUUUUGUAAGACUGGUGUGAAAUCCCCGGGCUUAACCUGGGAACUGCCUUUGAAACUGGGGGGCUUGAGUGCGGGAAAGGGGAGUGGAAUUCCCCGGGUAGCAGUGAAAUGCGUAAAAAUGCGGAGGAACACCGGUGGGGAAGGGGGCCCUCUGGGCCGGUCCUGGCGCUCAUGGUCAAAAACCUGGGGAAAAAACAGGAUUUGAUACCCGGGCAUUUCCCGCCCUAAACAAAAUCAACUA
rnacentral:rRNA from 1 species